rnacentral:rRNA from 1 species
UACGGGGGGGGCAAGCGUUGUUCGGAAUUACUGGGCGUAAAGGGCUCGUAGGCGGCCAACUAAGUCAGACGUGAAAUCCCCAGGCUUAACCUGGGAACUGCGUCUGAUACUGGAUGGCUUGAAUUCGGGAGAGGGAUGCAGAAUUCCAGGUGUAGCGGUGAAAUGCGUAGAUAUCUGGAGGAAUACCGGUGGCGAAGGCGGCAUCCUGGACCGACACUGACGCUGAGGCGCGAAAGCCAGGGGAGCGAACGGG